rnacentral:rRNA from 1 species
GGCAGCACGGGGGCAACCCUGGUGGCGAGUGGCGAACGGGUGAGUAAUACAUCGGAACGUGUCCUGUAGUGGGGGAUAGCCCGGCGAAAGCCGGAUUAAUACCGCAUACGCUCUACGGAGGAAAGGGGGGGAUCUUAGGACCUCCCGCUACAGGGGCGGCCGAUGGCAGAUUAGCUAGUUGGUGGGGUAAAGGCCUACCAAGGCGACGAUCUGUAGCUGGUCUGAGAGGACGACCAGCCACACUGGGACUGAGACACGGCCCAGACUCCUACGGGAGGCAGCAGUGGGGAAUUUUGGACAAUGGGCGAAAGCCUGAUCCAGCAAUGCCGCGUGUGUGAAGAAGGCCUUCGGGUUGUAAAGCACUUUUGUCCGGAAAGAAAACGCCGUGGUUAAUACCCGUGGCGGAUGACGGUACCGGAAGAAUAAGCACCGGCUAACUACGUGCCAGCAGCCGCGGUAAUACGUAGGGUGCAAGCGUUAAUCGGAAUUACUGGGCGUAAAGCGUGCGCAGGCGGUCCGCUAAGACAGAUGUGAAAUCCCCGGGCUUAACCUGGGAACUGCAUUUGUGACUGGCGGGCUAGAGUAUGGCAGAGGGGGGU